GGUUGGGGGUGGAUGUUUUUGGAUAAAACUGUUUUUAUCCACCUCACAUCAUCAGGCAUUAGCUGGAUUCUCAUAAGUAGCGCACAACCUGGAUCCCUCACAUGUGCAGUUUACAAUAGGGUUCGUUUUCUGUGAG